UUGUCGUAUGAAAGGAGAGAAGGUUAGCAAGGUCGACUUGGCAAGGAUGGAAGAUGCUGUACUGACCUUCAGCAUUAAGGCAUUGCCAGCUACUAGCCCAACGUGGACUGGUGUGAAGCACAAUGGGUU